rnacentral:rRNA from 1 species
UAUAAUGGGUCAGCGACUUAUAUUCUGUAGCAAGGUUAACCGUAUAGGGGAGCCGAAGGGAAACCGAGUCUUAACUGGGCGUUAAGUUGCAGGGUAUAGACCCGAAACCCGGUGAUCUAGCCAUGGGCAGGUUGAAGGUUGGGUAACACUAACUGGAGGACCGAACCGACUAAUGUUGAAAAAUUAGCGGAUGACCUGUGGCUGGGGGUGAAAGGCCAAUCAAACCGGGAGAUAGCUGGUUCUCCCCGAAAGCUAUUUAGGUAGCGCCUCGUGAACUCAUCUUCGGGGGUAGAGCACUGUUUCGGCUAGGGGGCCAUCCCGGCUUACCAACCCGAUGCAAACUACGAAUACCGAAGAAUGUUAUCACGGGAGACACACGGCGGGUGCUAACGUCCGUCGUGAAGAGGGAAACAACCCAGACCGCCAGCUAAGGUCCCAAAGUCAUGGUUAAGUGGGAAACGAUGUGGGAAGGCCCAGACAGCCAGGAUGUUGGCUUAGAAGCAGCCAUCAUUUAAAGAAAGCGUAAUAGCUCACUGGUCGAGUCGGCCUGCGCGGAAGAUGUAACGGGGCUAAACCAUGCACCGAAGCUGCGGCAGCGACGCUUAUGCGUUGUUGGGUAGGGGAGCGUUCUGUAAGCCGUUGAAGGUGGCCUGUGAGGGUUGCUGGAGGUAUCAGAAGUGCGAAUGCUGACAUAAGUAACGAUAAAGCGGGUGAAAAGCCCGCUCGCCGGAAGACCAAGGGUUCCUGUCCAACGUUAAUCGGGGCAGGGUGAGUCGACCCCUAAGGCGAGGCCGAAAGGCGUAGUCGAUGGGAAACAGGUUAAUAUUCCUGUACUUGGUGUUACUGCGAAGGGGGGACGGAGAAGGCUAUGUUAGCCGGGCGACGGUUGUCCCGGUUUAAGCAUGUAGGCGGAGGUUCCAGGUAAAUCCGGUACC